rnacentral:rRNA from 1 species
AGCGAACGUUAGCGGCGGGCCUAACACAUGCAAGUCGAGCGAGAAAGGGGCUUCGGCCCUGAGUAAAGCGGCCGACGGGUGAGUAACACGUAGGUAAUCUUCCUUCGAGCGGGGGACAACGGUCCGAAAGGACCGCUAAUACCGCGUACGCUCCCGAGGAACCUGGUCCUUGGGAGGAAAGCUAGGUCGCAAGAUCCGGCAAUCGGAGAGGAGCCUGCGUCGCAUCAGCUAGUUGGUGGGGUAAUGGCCUAACAAGGCGAAGACGCGUAGCUGGUCUGAGAGGAGGAUCAGCCACACUGGGACUGAGACACGGCCCAGACUCCUACGGGAGGCAGCAGUGGGGAAUAUUGGACAAGGGGCGCAAGCCUGAUCCAGCCACGCCGCGUGAGUGAUGAAGGCCCUCGGGUCGUAAAGCUCUGUGGGGAGGGACGAACCGCUGCACGUGCAUAGCGUGCAGCAUGACGGUACCUCCUUAGCAAGCACCGGCUAACUUCGUGCCAGCCGCCGCAGUAA